ACAGCGGCAGCAUUGGCUGGCCAGCUGGCUGAGCAUGCGCCUAUAAAGGACGCGGUCAGCUUACACCUUGGCAAACCAUGCUUCUGAUGGAAAUUGUGGAGGUCAGCAUCCAGGCACUCUCCCUGGUGAGGCCACAUCAUCCAGCACAGCCUGUUCACUUGUCUCCCAUAGACUCUUCUCAUUGUCAUGGACCAGAACCAAGGUUCCAAGGACUUUUUGCUGCUCCAUCAUCAAAAGAAAGAAGACAAAAGAAAUUAGUGAAUGGAGAGCCUCAGAAGAUCUGAGGAUAUCAGCAAUGUUACCAGCAGAAACCAAGAAAAAAGAAAAACCAUUCAGCCUGCCUUCUCCUGUGCUUCAUGUCUUACCAUGCACAAUAAACAGGAAAUGAAGAAGU